rnacentral:rRNA from 1 species
ACACAUGCAGUCGAACGAUGAAGCCCAGCUUGCUGGGUGGAUUAGUGGCGAACGGGUGAGUAACACGUGAGUAACCUGCCCUUGACUCUGGGAUAAGCCUGGGAAACUGGGUCUAAUACUGGAUAUGACUUCUCACCGCAUGGUGGGGGGUGGAAAGAUUUAUUGGUCUUGGAUGGACUCGCGGCCUAUCAGCUUGUUGGUGAGGUAAUGGCUCACCAAGGCGACGACGGGUAGCCGGCCUGAGAGGGUGACCGGCCACACUGGGACUGAGACACGGCCCAGACUCCUACGGGAGGCAGCAGUGGGGAAUAUUGCACAAUGGGCGCAAGCCUGAUGCAGCGACGCCGCGUGAGGGAUGACGGCCUUCGGGUUGUAAACCUCUUUCAGUAGGGAAGAAGCGAAAGUGACGGUACCUGCAGAAGAAGCGCCGGCUAACUACGUGCCAGCAGCCGCGGUAAUACGUAGGGCGCGAGCGUUAUCCGGAAUUAUUGGGCGUAAAGAGCUCGUAGGCGGUUUGUCGCGUCUGCCGUGAAAGUCCGGGGCUUAACCCCGGAUCUGCGGUGGGUACGGGCAGACUAGAGUGCAGUAGGGGAGACUGGAAUUCCUGGUGUAGCGGUGAAAUGCGCAGAUAUCAGGAGGAACACCGAUGGCGAAGGCAGGUCUCUGGGCUGUAACUGACGCUGAGGAGCGAAAGCAUGGGGAGCGAACAGGAUUAGAUACCCUGG